UGUAUCGGAAGCCUGACGAGGAUGAGAACCUCCGGGGGCAAGAGGUUCGACCCGAGCGAAGCGAGAGAACGUUGCGUCAGCAACGGCCCGCAGGGCGAGCCACGCAGUGGCGAGUCAUCCUCUAUCACCGACCA
rnacentral:sRNA from 35 species